GCAGGGAGACAAGGUCAGGGAGUUGAGCUCCCAGAGGGACUGUCAUGGGGCGGCCCUCUAGGUAAGAGCAGGGGAACAGACACCCAGGGGGGUCAGGCAGAAGGAAGGAGGCCCCAGGGGCACCAGAAGCUCAGCAAGGGGGCACUGCGUGGGAAUGGGGAGCUGUACAGAGGACGGGGCUCUGGCAGGGGCUGGGCAGUGCUGUCGGGGCAUGAGGGUACUGCACGGUUAGAGUAUGGGUUGGGGUGCUGUGGGGAGAUGGGGGUGUAGUGGGGGGGUGGGCAGUGCUGUCGGGGCAUGAGGGUACUGCACGGUUAGAGUAUGGGUUGGGGUGCUGUGGGGAGAUGGGGGUGUAGUGGGGGGGUGGGCAGUGCUGUCGGGGCAUGAGGGUACUGCACGGUUAGAGUAUGGGUUGGGGUGCUGUGGGGAGAUGGGGGUGUAGUGGGGGGCUGGGCAUGCUGUGGGGAGGAUGGGGCACUGCAGGGGAGAUGGGGAAUGCUGUGAGGAGACAAGAGUUAUGUGGGGUUGUCAUAGGUUUCACCUCCACCUCUGAACUUUAGGCUACAGAUGUGGGGACCUGCAUGAGAACCCCUAAGCUUAACUACCAGCUUAGAUCUAGUUGCUGCCACCACCCAAAUCGUUUCAAACAGCUGUUUCUGAGUCAUUUGGGAAACUCUGUCUCUCCCCCUCCCCCAAAUCUCUCCCUCCCAAGUACUAUAACCCUUCCCUGGAUACCCUGGAGAGACUUCUCCACCAAUUCCUGGUGAACACUGAUGCAAACCCCUUGGAUCUCAAAACAAGGGAAAAAUCAAUCAGGUUCUUACAAAGAAGACUUGUAAUUAAGGAAAAGGGGUAAUAGAAAUACCUCUGAGGGAUUAGCCUACAAGCUACUCUCACAGACAACAGAUUCCAAACACAGAGGAUGUUCCCCUGGGCAAAAGCCUUAGUACAGAAAAGAAAACCCAGUCUGAUUAUCCCGCUCACGCAAAAAGACAAAGUCUCAAAAAGAAAUAAACAUCAGCUAAUUCAUUCCUUCUCCAACACUCACUACCCUGGGCGACUGCUCGAUCUUCUCACUCCCGCACAGAGCUCAAUGAACUGAACGAAGGAAACACUUCCCCCGUCCUCUUGAAACAUCCUGUCCAGCCACUGGUUCCUCUGGCUCAGCUGUCAGCUAGGCUAGGGGAACUUAGGGGAGGAUGGGGUUCUGUGGGGGGAAUGGGGUGCAGUGGGGGUGGGGUUCUGGCAGUGGGGGAUGCUGUGGAGGCGUGUAGAGAAGUGGGGGUGCUGUGGGGAGGAUGGGGUUCUGUGGGAGGAAUGGGGUGCAGUGGGGUUGGGGUUCUGGCAGUGGGGGAUGCUGCAGAGGUGUGUAGAGAAGUGGGGGUGCUGUGGGGGGAAUGAGGUGCAGUGGGGGUGGGGUUCUGGCAGUGGGGGGUGCUGCAGAGGCAUGUAGAGAAGUGGGGGUGCUGUGGGGAGGAUGGGGUUCUGUGAGAGGAACGGGGUGCAGUGGGGGUGGAGUUCUGGCAGUGGGGGGUGCUGCAGAGGCGUGUAGAGAAGUGGGGGUGCUGU